GGCCUUAUAUUCAAUUAUGAUUUUAGACUGCAAUUCUAGAGGUGUAGAAUUACUAAGGCCU
rnacentral:tRNA from 1 species